rnacentral:rRNA from 1 species
ACUCCUACGGGAGGCAGCAGUAAGGAAUAUUGGACAAUGCUCGCAAGAGUGAUCCAGCCAUUCCGCGUGCAGGAUGACUGCCCUAUGGGUUGUAAACUGGCUUUUAGAUGGGAAGAAAAGUGCGACAUUUAAUGUUGUUUUGACGGUACCAUCAGAAUAAGGACCGGCUAACUCCGUGCCAGCAGCCGCGGUAAUACGGAGGGUCCAAGCGUUAUCGGAAUCACUGGGUUUAAAGGGUGCGUAGGCGGAUAACUAAGUCU